CAAUCAAACCGGGAGAUAGCUGGUUCUCCCCGAAAGCUAUUUAGGUAGCGCCUCGUGAAUUCAUCUCCGGGGGUAGAGCACUGUUUCGGCUAGGGGGCCAUCCCGGCUUACCAACCCGAUGCAAACUGCGAAUACCGGAGAAUGUUAUCACGGGAGACACACGGCGGGUGCUAACGUCCGUCGUGAAGAGGGAAACAACCCAGACCGCCAGCUAAGGUCCCAAAGUCAUGGUUAAGUGGGAAACGAUGUGGGAAGGCCCAGACAGCCAGGAUGUUGGCUUAGAAGCAGCCAUCAUUUAAAGAAAGCGUAAUAGCUCACUGGUCGAGUCGGCCUGCGCGGAAGAUGUAACGGGGCUAAACCAUGCACCGAAGCUGCGGCAGCGAACGUAUCACCCAAGACAACUUUACGGAGUUGACGAUUGACGGAGCGAAGCGACGUCAAAGCGUUCAUUAAAGUCGAGUUGGCUUAGGGAUACGUUCGUUGGGUAGGGGAGCGUUCUGUAAGCCUGUGAAGGUGUGUCGUGAGGCAUGCUGGAGGUAUCAGAAGUGCGAAUGCUGACAUAAGUAACGAUAAAGCGGGUGAAAAGCCCGCUCGCCGGAAGACCAAGGGUUCCUGUCCAACGUUAAUCGGGGCAGGGUGAGUCGACCCCUAAGGCGAGGCCGAAAGGCGUAGUCGAUGGGAAACGGGUUAAUAUUCCCGUACUUGGUGUUACUGCGAAGGGGGGACGGAGAAGGCUAUGUUGGCCGGGCGACGGUUGUCCCGGUUUAAGCGUGUAGGUGUGUGUUCCAGGUAAAUCCGGUUCACUUUAACACUGAGGCGUGACGACGAGGCACUACGGUGCUGAAGCAACAAAUGCCCUGCUUCCAGGAAAAGCCUCUAAGCAUCAGGUAACAUCAAAUCGUACCCCAAACCGACACAGGUGGUCAGGUAGAGAAUACCAAGGCGCUUGAGAGAACUCGGGUGAAGGAACUAGGCAAAAUGGUGCCGUAACUUCGGGAGAAGGCACGCUGACACGUAGGUGAAGUGAUUUACUCAUGGAGCUGAAGUCAGUCGAAGAUACCAGCUGGCUGCAACUGUUUAUUAAAAACACAGCACUGUGCAAACACGAAAGUGGACGUAUACGGUGUGACGCCUGCCCGGUGCCGGAAGGUUAAUUGAUGGGGUCAGCGCAAGCGAAGCUCCUGAUCGAAGCCCCGGUAAACGGCGGCCGUAACUAUAACGGUCCUAAGGUAGCGAAAUUCCUUGUCGGGUAAGUUCCGACCUGCACGAAUGGCGUAAUGAUGGCCAGGCUGUCUCCACCCGAGACUCAGUGAAAUUGAACUCGCUGUGAAGAUGCAGUGUACCCGCGGCAAGACGGAAAGACCCCGUGAACCUUUACUAUAGCUUGACACUGAACAUUGAGCCUUGAUGUGUAGGAUAGGUGGGAGGCUUUGAAGUGUGGACGCCAGUCUGCAUGGAGCCGACCUUGAAAUACCACCCUUUAAUGUUUGAUGUUCUAACGUGGACCCGUAAUCCGGGUUGCGGACAGUGUCUGGUGGGUAGUUUGACUGGGGCGGUCUCCUCCUAAAGAGUAACGGAGGAGCACGAAGGUUGGCUAAUCCUGGUCGGACAUCAGGAGGUUAGUGCAAUGGCAUAAGCCAGCUUGACUGCGAGCGUGACGGCGCGAGCAGGUGCGAAAGCAGGUCAUAGUGAUCCGGUGGUUCUGAA
rnacentral:rRNA from 1 species